rnacentral:tRNA from 1 species
AGCCAGUGUGUAUAGUGGUUUGAGUGCUGGACUAGGACUCUGGGAGGCCAGGGUUCAAAUCCCCGCUCGGCUG